rnacentral:rRNA from 1 species
CCUACGGGGGGCAGCAGUGAGGAAUAUUGGUCAAUGGACGAGAGUCUGAACCAGCCAAGUAGCGUGAAGGAUGACUGCCCUAUGGGUUGUAAACUUCUUUUAUAUGGGAAUAAAAUGUUCCACGUGUGGGAUUUUGUAUGUACCAUAUGAAUAAGGCUCGGCUAACUCCGUGCCAGCAGCCGCGGUAAUACGGAGGAUCCGAGCGUUAUCCGGAUUUAUUGGGUUUAAAGGGGGCGUAGGUGGAUUGUUAAGUCAGUUGUGAAAGUUUGCGGCGCAACCGUAAAAUUGCAGUUGAAACUGGCAGUCUUGAGUACAGGAGAGGUGGGCGGAAUUCGGGGUGUAGCGGUGAAAUGCUUAGAUAUCACGAAGAACUCCGAUUGCGAAGGCAGUUCACUGGACUGCAACUGACACUGAGGCUCGAAAGUGUGGGUAUCAAACAGGAUUAGAUACCCUAGUAGUC